rnacentral:rRNA from 1 species
CGGAACGGCAUGGGAGGGCCGGCCGCAGCGGGUGACAGCCCCGUACGCGAACCCAGACCGGACGGCGCGACGCGGUCCCUGAGUAGGGCCGGGCACGUGAAACCCGGUCCGAACCUGGGUGGACCACCAUCCAAGCCUGAGUACUACCCUGUGACCGAUAGCGCACCAGUACCGUGAGGGAAAGGUGAAAAGCACCCCGGGAGGGGAGUGAAACAGUACCUGAAACCGUGCGCCCACGAGCAGUCGGAGCACCUUUAUGGUGUGACGGCGUGCCUUUUGUAGAAUGAGCCAGCGAGUCGCUGGCGCGGGGCGAGGUUAACCGAAAGGGAGCCGAAGCGAAAGCGAGCCUUAACAGGGCGACUUGAGUCCCGCGCCGCGGACGCGAAGCCGGGUGAGCUAUCCGUGGGCAGGCUGAAGCGGGGGUAAGACCCCGUGGAGGGCCGAACGCACGUCGGUUGAAAACGGCGGCGAUGACCUGCGGAUAGGGGUGAAAGGCCAAUCAAACCCGGAGAUAUCUCGUUCUCCCCGAAAUAGCUUUAGGGCUAGCGUCGCGCGUUCACCGCCGGAGGUAGAGCACCGGAUGGACGAGGGGGCUUCGCCGCCUACCGAAUCCAACCGAACUCCGAAUGCCGGCGGCCCAGAGCGCGGCAGUCAGAGCAUGUGGGCUAAGCUGUGUGCUCGAGAGGGAAACAGCCCGGACCGCCCGCUAAGGUCCCCAAGUUCCAGCCGAGUGGCAAAGGAUGUGCGUCCGCCCAGACAACCAGGAUGUUGGCUUAGAAGCAGCCAUCCAUUCAAAGAGUGCGUAACAGCUCACUGGUCGAGUGGACAUGCGCCGACAAUACACGGGGCUAAGCUGGACACCGAAGCGGCGGGAUUUUAAUUCAUUAGAAUCGGUAGGGGAGCUUCCCAUGGGCGGAGAAGCCGGAGGGCGACCGACGGUGGAGCGCAUGGGAGUGAGAAUGCUGGCAUGAGUAGCGAGAGACGAGAGAGUAACUCGUCCGCCGUGAACCCGAGGUUUCCUGGGCAAGGCUAAUCCUCCCAGGGUCAGUCGGGGGCUAAGGCGAGGCCGGGAGGCGUAGCCGACGCGCAGCAGGCAGACAUUCCUGCACCGCGCACGCGGCGCUACGACCGACGGGGCGACGGAUGGGGGUGGCUCGGCGGGGUUCUGGACGUCCCCGUGAUGGAGCGCGGCCCGCGGACCAGGGAAAUCCGGUCCGCAGAAGGGCGAGGCUCCGGACGAAGCGAGUGAGCGAAGCGAGUGAGCCCGAGGUCCCUAGAAAAACCCCUAGGCAGGCGCGUGCGCGCCCGUACCGCAAACCGACACAGGUGGGUGGGUAGAACAUACCGAGGCGAUCGGGUCAACCAUGGUCAAGGAACUCGGCACAAUGGCCCCGUAACUUCGGGAGAAGGGGUGCCCGCGCGUACGUGAACCGGCUCGCCCGGGGAGCGGAGGCGGGCCGCAGUGGAGAGGCCCAAGCGACUGUUUACCAAAAACACAGGACUCUGCAGAAGCCGCAAGGCGACGUAUAGGGUCUGACGCCUGCCCGGUGCCGGAAGGUCACGCGGAGGAGUUAGCCGAUUCGGCGAAGCCCCGAAGCCAAGCCCCGGUAAACGGCGGCCGUAACUAUAACGGUCCUAAGGUAGCGAAAUUCCUUGUCGGGUAAGUUCCGACCUGCACGAAAGGCGCAACGACUUGGGCGCUGUCUCGACCAUGGACCCGGUGAAAUUGCACUGGUCGUGAAGAUGCGACUUACCCGCGGAAGGACGGAAAGACCCCGUGAACCUUCACUGCAGCUUGGCAUUGGCCGCUGGUCCCGCGUGUAGAGGAUAGGCAGGAGGCACAGAUCCGGAGGCGCCAGCCCCCGGGGAGCCGCCCUUGGAAUACUGCCCUCGCGCGACCGGCGUCCUAACCCGAGGCCGUCAACCGGCUCGGGGACCGUGCCAGGCGGGCAGUUUGACUGGGGCGGUCGCCUCCUAAAGGGUAACGGAGGCGCGCGAAGGUCCGCUCGGGACGGUCGGCAACCGUCCUUUUGAAUGCAAGAGUACAAGCGGGCUUGACUGCGAGGCCCACAAGCCGAGCAGGUGCGAAAGCAGGCUCUAGUGAUCCGGCGGCCCCGAGUGGGUGGGCCGUCGCUCAACGGAUAAAAGGUACU